GGUUGUGUAGUGUAGCGGUUAUCACUCCGGAUUCUGAUCAUCCAAAAGUCAUAACUUCCGGCAACCCCGGUUCGAUUCCGGGCACGACCU
rfam:Fungal sp. No.11243 DNA, scaffold: sccafold0004.